GACGAACGCUGGCGGCGUGCUUAACACAUGCAAGUCGAACGGUGAAGCGCCUUCCUUUUUGGUUGGUGUGGAUGAGUGGCGAACGGGUGAGUAACACGUGAGUAACCUGCCCCCUUCUUCUGGAUAACCGCAUGAAAGUGUGGCUAAUACGGGAUAUUCUGGGUCUGUCGCAUGAUGGGUCUGGGAAAGAUAUUGUUUCGGUGGGGGAUGGGCUCGCGGCCUAUCAGCUUGUUGGUGGGGUGAUGGCCUACCAAGGCGGUGACGGGUAGCCGGCCUGAGAGGGUGGACGGUCACACUGGGACUGAGACACGGCCCAGACUCCUACGGGAGGCAGCAGUGGGGAAUAUUGCACAAUGGGCGCAAGCCUGAUGCAGCGACGCCGCGUGAGGGAUGGAGGCCUUCGGGUUGUGAACCUCUUUCGCCAGUGAAGCAGGCCUGCCUCGUUUGUGGGUGGGUUGACGGUAGCUGGAUAAGAAGCGCCGGCUAACUACGUG
rnacentral:rRNA from 1 species